CUCAUCUCUUCACCUCCCCUGUCGUUAUCUCUCCCCCCCCCCCAUAUGGUUCAAUGUAUUUCUUUCUGUUCGGCCAUGAUUGUUAUUCCCAUUAAUUCGAGUAUGUAUGUCGAUGUUUCCGUUUCCUGCAUCUCGAAUCUUAUAUAUAAUGGGGUUGAGAGUAGGUUGGAUGUUCAGAACCAUUUUGAGUUUAUCAUUUUAUUGAGCGUAGAAAGAUUUUCGAAAAUGUCUUCCUCCGAUGCUGUCUUUUUGCAAUUAGCCUUCGACGCUCUCUGCCUCGGUUGAUCCGCCCAGUUCGGUGUCGCUCAUCCCAAAAUAUUUGGAGGUAACCUGUACCUCAACUCCACACCAGCAAAGGAGUUUUAUUUCGACCCCAGCCUUCAAGCCAUCUCAGAGUUCACAGCCAGGUAUAAACUCUUUAGGUGUUUCUGUUUAACCAAAAUUUUAAUGUUCUGGUAGUUCAUCAUAUUAUACCAUCUGGUUCCAGCUUAUAACGCCCAAUAGGUGAAGCUUUCCCUUGUAUCGAUACCAAAGAAGGGAUAAAAAAUGAAGGAAGUUGUCUCAAUAGGAGAUCCAAAAAAGUUCAUUUCCAAUUCUGACGAGCAUGUAAUAUUCCUCGAACCAAGAAAGUUGUAAAAAAAAAAAUGAUUUAGCACAGAAUUAUUAAAUAGUUGAUAUGCUGCCUUGGUAAAGACACAUGAAGCUUAUUUUAUCUGCAAGGCUUGGAUUGUUGAGGUCCUGCAACAAAAUGUUGGUCUUUCGUUUCUUGCACUGGCUGCAGCAGGAAGCUUGACAAAUCUGGUACCUCUCUCUGUUGCAACCAUUGUGUUAAUCUCAACAUCACCAGAGUUAUAAAGUACUGUAUUGAAUUGUUAGUUGAUGAUGGGAAUGAUAAUGCCACUUUCGUAUUGUUUGACAGAGAGGUGCUUAGACUGACUAAGCAAGAUGCAGCUGGUCUAACUCUAGAUGAGAUGAAUGGUGGUCACGGCAACGAACUCCCACAAUGCCUACAAGAACUUGAUGGAAAAGAUUUUGUUUUCCAGAUUCGUGUGACACUAUUCAAUUUCACCCCAUGCUACUGCACUUUCACAGUUUCUGCAAUCGUUGACCACAUCAACCCCGAGACUUUCAACACCAAUGAAGAACAAUAUGUUCAAGUGUAAGGUGGUGGACCAUAUGCAUAUGCCAGCAACCAAGUUAGAGAUGAAGGGGAUGGACCAAAUCAAUCAUGUAUUGAUGGAAAAGAGAGUAGCCGUAAACGCCCCCGUGAGUGAAGUUAGCAAGCUGUGACACUGUCAACCCACCUCUGCUUUUGUUUCUAUACAUUUUCCUUUAGUGCUUUGCAAUUUCUAUUUCUCACUUUCCAAGCAUUUUUCUGUUUCCACGUUUUCGUUCUUUAAAGCACUUAUGGUUUUAAUAGUUUAAAAAGGGUUGGCAUAAUUUUUU